rnacentral:rRNA from 1 species
CCUACGGGAGGCAGCAGUGGGGAAUAUUGCGCAAUGGGCGAAAGCCUGACGCAGCGACGCCGCGUGAGGGAUGAAGGUCUUCGGAUCGUAAACCUCUGUCAGCAGGGAAGAACGGUCACUGUGCUAAUCAGCAGUGAAUUGACGGUAACUGCAAAGGAAGCAACGGCUAACUCCGUGCCAGCAGCCGCGGGAAUACGGAGGGUGCGGGCGUUAAUCGGAAUUACUGGGCGUAAGGCGCUCGUAGGCGGUAUGUCAAGUCAAGGGUGAAAUCCCCGGGCUCAACGUGGGAACUGCCUUUGAAACUGGCAAACUUGAGUGUGUGAGAGGGUAGUGGAAUUCGAGGUGUAGGAGUGAAAUCCGUAGAUAUCUGGAGGAACAUCAGUGGCGAAGGCGACUAUCUGGCACAUAACUGACGCUGAGGAGCGAAAGCGUGGGUAGCAAACAGGAUUAGAUACCCCAGUAGUC